rnacentral:tRNA from 1 species
CGGGCUGUGGCGCAGCUUGGUAGCGCACUACCUUGGGGUGGUAGGGGCCGUGGGUUCAAAUCCCGCCAGCCCGA